rnacentral:rRNA from 1 species
UCUUUACGUUAAUUGUUUGGGUAAUUAUUUAGGUUAUGAGGUUUAAUAUUACCGUGGGAAUAAACGUUUUAUUGGGGUGAUAGGAAGAUAAGAAUAACUCUUUUUGGUUAUAAAGUACAUUGAUUUAUGAAUUUUUGAUCCGUUAAAAGCGAUUAUAAGACUAAGU